rnacentral:rRNA from 1 species
GUGCCAGCAGCCGCGGUAAUACGGAGGGUGCGAGCGUUAAUCGGAAUUACUGGGCGUAAAGGGCACGCAGGCGGUUAAUUAAGUUGGAUGUGAAAUCCCCGGGCUUAACCUGGGAAUGGCAUUCAAGACUGGUUAGCUAGAGUCUUGUAGAGGGGGGUAGAAUUCCAUGUGUAGCGGUGAAAUGCGUAGAGAUGUGGAGGAAUACCGGUGGCGAAGGCGGCCCCCUGGACAAAGACUGACGCUCAUGUGCGAAAGCGUGGGGAGCAAACAGGAUUAGAUACCCUGGUAGUCCACGCUGUAAACGAUGUCGAUUUGGAGGUUGUGGUCAAGAACUGUGGCCUCCGGAGCUAACGCGUUAAAUCGACCGCCUGGGGAGUACGGCCGCAAGGUUAAAACUUAAAGGAAUUGACGG